rnacentral:lncRNA from 10 species
GAGAUGGAGUUUAGCUCUUGUUGCCCAGGCUGGAGUGCAGUGCCGCGAUCUCGGCUCACUGCAACUUCCGCUUCCCAGGUUCAAGUGCUUCUCCUGCCUCACCUCUCAAGUAACUAGGACUACAGGAGAUCGAGACCAUCCUGGCUAACACGGUGAAACCCCGUCUCUACUAAAAAUACAAAAAUUAGCCGGGCAUGGUGGCGCGCGCCUGUAGUCCCAGCUACACGGGAGGCUGAGGCAGGAGAAUGGCGUGAACCCGGGAGGCGGAGCUUGCAGUGAGUCGAGAUCGCGCCACUGCACUCCAGCCUGGGCGACAGAGCGAAACUCCGUCUCAAAAAAAAAAAAAAAAAAAAAAAAGAAAGAAAAAUGAAUCUUUAAAAUCAAGUACAAGAAUUAGUUGGACUUAACCAUAUUUGUGUAAUAAUUGCAUGAAUACUUAUAUCGUAAUGUAAAAAUAUUUUAGUUGACUAUGACAGGAGCUUAAAACUGUCAAAUUUUACCAUCUAGCAUUGUACAUUACAGCCUGGGUACUGCUGAAAUGUCAACAAAGGAGUAGGUGUUGGUGUUGCGUUUCUCAAUCUGCAUCUUAUUAAUAGCUUGUAGAGUUUGCUUAGACAGAAACCCCCCCCGCCCCCAAUACUGAAUGUAUUCUCCUUGGGUCUAAUCAGCAGAUUAAUUUCAGGCCUUAGGAAAACAACCUUAAUUUUAUUGUGCAUCCCUUUUUUGGUCUCAUGAUAGAUGCUAGUCUACAUACAAUGUGGUGUGGGAUUUAAUCCCUAGCCUCACAGUUACAUAAUAAGGAAAAAGCAAUUGCAGAAACAUUUCAUAUUAAACAUCAUAUAGGACUUCAAGUGACAGAUCUGGAUAGAUUUCAUAUUUAUUAGGGCACAUAUUGCUCAGCAAGUUCUGAGUUUUUAAAUAAGUAGAUUUAAGCCAUUGGCAAAUAGAUACUAAUGUCCCUAAAUUCUAAACUUAUUAUUAAAUAUAAUCAAGCUGUUUUCUCCUUUAUAUGACAUUUUUCAUGUUAUAUUUCAACAAAGAACUAAAAUAAAACAUAAACACUAAGCUCAGCAGAGGUAUAUGAGAGGCAACAAAUAUUCUUUUAUAAAAAACAGCCAAAAACUAUGACAAACCUGAGUUUACACAGGAAUAUCAGUGUCUUAGAGCUGAUUUUUAGAAGCCAUAUAAUCAUAGUGUGAUGAUUUGGGGAGGGUAUGGAUUUUGUCAAUACAUAUUUUGUCAAUACGUAUUGAAUAGAUAUAUGAAUUUUGGAAAAAUCAAAAUAAA